CUGCCUUUAUCUGGGGGAUAGCCUUUCGAAAGGAAGAUUAAUACCCCAUAAUAUUUUGAAUGGCAUCAUUUAAAAUUGAAAACUCCGGUGGAUAGAGAUGGGCACGCGCAAGAUUAGAUAGUUGGUAGGGUAACGGCCUACCAAGUCAGUGAUCUUUAGGGGGCCUGAGAGGGUGAUCCCCCACACUGGUACUGAGACACGGACCAGACUCCUACGGGAGGCAGCAGUGAGGAAUAUUGGACAAUGGGUGAGAGCCUGAUCCAGCCAUCCCGCGUGAAGGACGACGGCCCUAUGGGUUGUAAACUUCUUUUGUACAGGGAUAAACCUUUCCACGUGUGGAAAGCUGAAGGUACUGUAUUUUAUAAGCACCGGCUAACUCCGUGCCAGCAGCCGCGGUAAUACGGAGGGUGCAAGCGUUAUCCGGAUUUAUUGGGUUUAAAGGGUCCGUAGGCGGAUCCGUAAGUCAGUGGUGAAAUCUCAUAGCUUAACUAUGAAACUGCCAUUGAUACUGC
rnacentral:rRNA from 1 species